UUUUAAAAUUAUUUGUAUUUAUUACUGUCAUUUAUUUAGUCUGUACCAUGAAUAGGCUAUGGCUUGACAGCCUUAAAGGUUAGAGAUGUGAGCCGGUAACCAGAGGGUUGCCUGAUUUUAUCCCAAAGAUGCUUGGUAGGGAUCCUACAGGAAGUGAGCUGGCAGCUGGAGGGUUAAUGGCUUCAGUAUCCCAUAUAAUACCUAAUUUUGUGCACUUUAGAUGUGUGUAACCGAUGUGAAAUGGCUAGAUAGUUAGCGGUGGUGCGCACUAAUAGCGUUUCAAUCGGUGACGUCGUUAACUCUGAGAACUUGUUGUUGAUGGGUAAUGAUCCCUCGUGGGUGACUGUUGUUGAUGUGUGCAGAGUCCCUGGUUCGAGCCCAGGUAGGGACGGAAGCAAUACUGUUACAUAAGGUUGGGUAAAAAUAAUGUCUGUGUAAAUGGACCAAUUAUGGAAGUAUUGUUUUACAUUUUGUUGUAUGGUUUCUCUGUGCAGGUUCAGAUCACAGGAGGUUCUUUAUUUGGGGGUGUCGGGCUUGUGAUAAUGGCUGGAGCAGAAGAGGUGGAAGGGUAUCAAAUACACCACACACACAUAGUUUCCAUGUGUUUGAUGCCAUUCCAUUUGCUCCGUUCCAGACAUUAUGAGCUGUCCUCCCCUCAGCAUCCUCCACUGGUUCAGAUGAAUCAUGGCGGAAGUCAAUGGAUGAGCUCCAGGCUAGGAAGCAGCAGGUCACAGAGUUUGAGGUUGUCCAGCAGGCCCUGAACAAGGUGACUGCCUGUUUCCAAAUGGCCACCUCUUUCGGAAGCAACUCGGACGGCAGAUUUCUGAGAUGGACAAGACCAGAGCACUGGCUUACAGAAUCUGCACAGGUUUGCAGACAGCUGGUACCUCUGAUCAGAGGUAGAAUCGGACAAGAAAACCAAGAAGAACCCGGUGGGGGGGGGGGUUCUCCUCACUGGAUUAUAGAAACACCAACAGGACCUGUCAAAGCCAGUGCUGCAAUAGACCUCUUCCACUUGAAACAAAGGAAUUACCACUGGCCCCUGGUGAAAACAGGGGCUUCGGAGGGUGGCGUCAGUCCAAGCCCCCCCAAGGCUAGCAGUGGAGUACUGAAGAGGCCUGGGUGGAGGGUGCCCAGUCUCAGAAUGAGUGUGACAAGAGAUAGUGGUGUCCCAAGAUGGUAUCAUCCUCCAAACUGUUAA
rnacentral:lncRNA from 1 species